rnacentral:rRNA from 1 species
AGAUUGAACGCUGGCGGCAUGCUUUACACAUGCAAGUCGAACGGUAACAGGCCGCAAGGUGCUGACGAGUGGCGAACGGGUGAGUAAUGUAUCGGAACGUGCCCAGUCGUGGGGGGAUAACGCAGCGAAAGCUGCGCUAAUACCGCAUACGAUCUAUGGAUGAAAGCGGGGGACCUAAGGCCUCGCGCGAUUGGGAGCGGCCGAUAUCAGAUUAGGUAGUUGGUGGGGUAAAGGCUCACCAAGCCAACGAUCUGUAGCUGGUCUGAGAGGACGACCAGCCACACUGGGACUGAGACACGGCCCAGACCUCCUACGGGAGGCAGCAGGUGGGGAAUUUUGGACAAGUGGGCGCGAAGCCUGAUCCAGACAAUCGCCGCGUGGCAAGGAGAACGGCCGUUUCGGGUUAGUUAAACGUGUCUUUUCGGUAACGGUAACGAACGGUCCGUUAGGUUAACGUACCGUGGGACUUAAGUGUAACCGGUACCGUAAAGAACGUAAGACCGAACCGGCUAAACUACCGUAG